CGCUCCCGCCCAGGAGGCUGCGCAUUGGCUGCGGGGAAAAUCAAUUAUCAAAUAAUCGAUCAGCAGGGAGCUUCGAUCUGCCGGGAAUGUAAACUGCCAGUACCGAUUCCCGCCCUGACGGUGGCCAAAAGGCUGACUCCCUCAAAGCGACCGGCCUGAGCUCCCAUCCCAUGGUCCCCACCCCCAUCCCACCCUGCCAGCUGUGGAGCAAACCCUCGCCCCAGAGGGGAGAUAGUUGGUGGGAAGAGUUUUGAGAAAGAUUAGGGGGCCCCCUUCACUGGGAGUUUGUUUGGAAAAGGUUGAGAGCUCUCAAAUGUAUUGAAGCCAACUCUUAGGCGCCAAGUAAGAGAAUUUGCAUCCGUCCGCGAAGUAGGACUCAAGUUUCUUCUGAGUGGGCUUCUGAGGAGCAGGGGACCUGGGCGAUCUUCAAAACGUAGAGCUGCAGUAUUGCUCCACCGAGCGCUGGUAGCCUCCCUAGGCGACACCUAUGGCUUCUUCUAGCGCUCCGCAGGAGCUAGCGCCGGGGUGGUUCACCCCAGCCGUGGAGCCUUCGUGGAAAGCUGAGCAGAUGAGCCUUCCCAGCCUACUGCACACGUCCCCGCCCCCAACCUGAACUUGCUCCUUCUGUGCCUGAAGGGUCGGCACACAUUCACCCAAAACCUUCAGAUGAGCUUUGAGUUGAAUGAGCUCAACUGUUACAAAAGAAAAAUCUCCAGAGUCCCUUAGUACUUACCUGUCUCUUCUUUCUUAAUUUCUAGUUUCUGUCUUCAAUACUCAAAUUUUAAGAUAUUUUACUUUUAUCCACCACGUACUUGUAUACUGUUUUCUAACACAGUUACCCUGAUACAUCUCUUGGGAAGUUAAGGCAGGCCUGAGAGUCAAAGCCAAGGGGGGGCUUUGGGGAAGCCAGGUGAAUUACCAGAGCCAACGCCUAACUCUGAGCCCGCCCCCCCCUUCCCCUCGCAGUUUGAACUUGAAAGCAGCUUUUCAGGCCAAGAUGGAACCUUCUGAACUCAGGAAAGCGAUUUUUAAUUUUUGCGAAGCCGAGCUGGCUAGGCCAGGCAGCGCACUUCUUUUCCGAUUAUGGGGAGGGCUGCGCUGGGCCGUCAGCAGUGAGCUCUUCCCCAGCUCCUGAGGGCUGUGGCCCACACCUGAGCGCCUUCCGACAGCUACUCCCGGGGGUGGGAGCGCUGUCUCCCCAGCAGGCCUGCCAGGCAUCAGCGCGGCUUGGGCGGGGGGGGCGGGAGGGGGUCCAACCAGACACCAACACAGGCUCCUCUACGUUUAUGGUCCUUAAAUGAACUGCGAGGAAGGUUAUAAGUGAAAGAAGGAAGGUUCAGUCCCUACAACAAAAGCUAACAAGCAGAAAAUUCUUCCAGGAACGGAUCACAAGUGAGCACAGCUCUGUCCUGUAUUCUAAGCUAGUAAUGGAGGUACAGUACGGGAGCUGAAGAGGUCUAGCAGACGUGCUCCAGUCAUCAACUGCAAACAUUUACCUUUGAAGCAACUGGAUGAGCCAGAUUGGUUAUGGUUUGCAUCCAUGUUCGACUUGAUAAAGGGGCAUAAUUUGUGAAAAGCCUUCAGGCAAAAAUCGUACUGAUUAUUCAAAACUAAAUAUUUUAACAUUUCAUUGAGUUAGCUAAUGAAUAAGAAAAACAUCGAAGGCUUCCUGCAGCUCAGAAAGAAUUCUAGUGGCGUGGAAAGCACAAGGAGCAAAGAACAAGAAACUGAAGGACUCCUGCUGAGCAGUUAUUCGCUUGUGAAUAUCUGAAAAUGUAUUCUUCUGUGCGUUAUUUAAAAAUGAAAAAUAAACAUCAUCUUUCCUUGUCUUUUGUUUUUAAAUGAACGUCUGAUAGCUUGCUAAAAAAUUUUUUUCUGAGUAAUUUAUGCGAGAAAGGGCCAAUUCGAAAACGUGUAACUAAUGGGAGAAGUCCACGUAUAAGCCGCAAACAAAUCGGUUUGAAGCCGAGCCCACAGCCCUGCGAGGCGCCACUGCUUCCAAGCUCAGGGAGGAUAACUUCAUCUACCGGCAGUU
ensembl:lncRNA